CAACAGGAACACAUAUAGCUGGAAUGCAGAUGGGAUCUGUGCUACUUACGCUAGCCAUGGGAUGAUUAGAACAAGAUAAGAGACAUGAGGAAGACUUCUUCAAGGAGGUGCUCAAGCCAUGUUUUGGAAAAGAGAACUCAAGGUCUGGCAGGGAGAAAGGAGCAAGGGCAAGUAGAGCUGCAGCUGUCUGGCGCCACUGUAAUGCUGUCUCCUCCUCUGAGUGAGUUCAUCCUGGAAACAUUUUCUCCCAUAAGACAUGCACAGGUCUUACGUUUACAUGUUUCACUGAAAGAAAUUUGAUUCCACUGCUGGGAUGACAAGGAAGACUGAAGAAACCUAAUCCUAGGUGCUGCCACUGGGACAAACAAGAAGCACCAGACACAGUGCUGUUUUAGGGUGGGGCAGAAUUAUGCUGAGGGAAAAGUUAUUAUCACUCUUUAAGGCCAAGGAAACCACAAUUUUUAAAGAAGCUUCUAGAAAUUCUACCCAGUAGAAAAUAAAGAUAAACUUCUGUAAGGAAUUUCAUUCUUUUCAGAAUUCGCAAUCUGAAAUGUAGAAGCCCAUUCCUUCAUGGUUCUCAUAGAUAUUUAGUGUGACUGAGGGGUCAGUGGACUCAUAGCACUCAGGCCAGGCUUCUCCUGAGUCCCUUUCUUUGGCACAGAGGGAGUGAUUCACAGAUCCUCUACCCCCAAAGGCAUUGUUUCCUCAUCUCAACAAGAAUCCAGCACCCGUCAUUUUAUCAGCACACGUCACUAGCUUCUCAAGUGAGACUACUCUGAAGUGAUCUGUGUUUGAAGAAUGCCUUUCCCUUUCCCUUACGUAACUAAGAGGAUGAAAAAGGACACUCACUCCCUAUAUGAAAGCUGUGUAUUGUAAGCAGUCAUCUUGCCUGGCUGAGAACUCUAGGAUCUUUUUCUCUGCUCUCCUUUAGGCUGACACUCAUAGCCAGACCUUCUGUUUAUUAGCCCCCUGAAUCUAUUUGAAAAUAUUUUUGCUUUCAUUAUAAUAUAAGUCACAUUCUUCUUGCAUCUGCCGCUGCAUUUUCCAAAAGGGUUAUGUCAAGGGAAAUUCAACACUCACUUUUCUCAUUAUUUGCUUACCAGCUUGCUCACUCAUCAAAAUACCAGAGUUAUUUGAUACUUCAGAAGAUUAUUUCCCCCUUUAGAUGAUGUGUCAAGGGAAGGGGAGCUGGCCCCAGUAUCAGGUGACAGAAUUUUCUUCGCAUUUCUACUGUUGACUCAAUAAAUGCCCUUGGGCAAGUCAUGGAGCCUCUUCAUACUUUGGUCUCUAGGGAUAAAAUCUGCCAACCGCAGCAUGUGUAUUUGAACCUCAGUGUCCUCUGGAAUAAAAAUAGGAGGGGACCAGGUGUCCAUGUGACCCCAAGCUGAUGGGAAGAGGAUGACCAUAGGACUUCAAAAUGUCCUUGAGCUGUAAAUUCUGUAAUAGGGUCAGGCCCACCAGUGGCCUUCAGGCAUUUGUCCAGUGGUGUAUGGAUAAGUUCUAGCACUUGAGUUUUUUCAGCACAAAGGAGGCACUAUGUCAACCUCCCACCCAUGGGUAUUCUGUUUGCUCUGUGUCCCCGCUUCUCUGCAUUUCCCUGCCAUAUUACUCACCACUGGUCGUAAUUACUUGCUUGAUCACUUGUCUCCUGGUCUGUAAGCUGUUUGAGGGAGGGGAGCACAUCUGCCCUAUGCAACACUGUACCCUCAGUGUGGUACACAGGAGCACAUGCCUGACAUAUGGAAGUUAUGUGAGAAACAUUUGUGAAGUGGACAAAUUAAUAAUGCUGCCUGGACUCUAUAGAAAUCCCUUUUCUGCAUCAUUAAGGUUCCCAAGCCUGGCCAAGAAGUAGUGGGAUCUGAUUAGCCUCAUCUCCUCAUAACCCUACUUCCUAUAAUAUUAUAAUGAAAGCAGAUCUCAGCCCAAAUGCUGGCACACAUACAUAUUUAUCAGUAAGAAGAUCCAAAAUCGUUCAUGCAGCUGGUUCUGUAAGCUUGGCAAAUUUCCAGCCCUCUGAACUUUUCAGUGCUUUGUCCACACUCUACAUGAAAGGGCCUCUUAAGAGUGACAGGGCAGUAUUCUAAAGACCAGAUUUUAAUUGCACCAGGUAACUGAAUUGUCUGAAUUCACAGCUGAACACAGGACAAGGUCAGAAUCAUAUUUCUUAUGCCAUUUAGAAAGGUGACAAGUGAAGGGCUGGCCAAAAUCUUACACCCAGCUUACGUAAGAGUAGAGACUGUCCCUAAUGCUUUCCCCAGUCCACUUGUCUCGAACACCAUUAGGUUCAAUAGUAAAAGCCCAUUUCUCACUUGCUUCAUGUUAAUUGACUGAUCACUAAUUUUACCAAUAAGAAGCCAUUUUUAUUAUUUAUCAUUAUGAUUUUUAUCAUUUUGUUAAUUAGCCAAGCUUCUGCUGUUGACUCCAGAUAAAGAGAGUUAAAGCACUUGGGGUGACCACCUAAGUAGAUUUUUUCAUGGUGAACAAAUGGAAGCAACAGAAACAGCUCAGACUUUUGAAAAGUGAUGAAAAAGGCCCAUGAUGCCCUGCUCCUUGAAAAUGAAGAAGAGGAUGACUUAGCCCUGCAGGGCUCUUUUCUUUGCAUGUUCUUACCAACCCUCAGGGGAGAUUCAGUCUACUAGCUGGCUUCCCCACGUGGACCUCACUCUGUGGCAAGUAACUGGGAGUAAUUUACCUUCUGGGUUCUCUUACAACCCCCUUAGCUAUGUAGGUGAUUUCAGGCCCAAGGGGGAAGAUAUCAGAUAAGCCAGAACAUUUUGAUUCUACUGACCGAGUUUCCUCACCUCCCUCCCUUUGUUUCUGAUAAAUACAUACGUUAAGGUCAGCUGAAGAGUUGUCUGUGAUAAUUGCCCUGAAUCCUCACUCACUCCUCUGAAUUUCUGUCUUCUGUAGCCUCUUAGCCAUGUUGCAGGUGAAGGUCUCAAGUCAUUUGCACCACUAGGAAUCGUUUGUGUUAUUGUGACUGAUAUAUGUCCUCAGAGUUGUAUCAGUGUUGUCCCCUACACACACAUGCACAUACAUGCACCACACAAUAUGCACGUUCUAUAAGACAGAGCCUCUAUUUUUGGUGUCUGCUUAGCCCUCCAGUUUCCCAUUGGGAUUAGUUGUUUUCUCCAAGCUUCAGACAACUUGGAGAUCCUGCCUAACUUUGGUUGCUCUUCCUUGUCAGACUGGAACUUACCCUCAGUAUGGUACAACCAAUCACUGGCUCUCAGGGAACUCAUCACCCUGAACUAUGCCUGACAGGACAGGAGCACCAUCAUCUCGGACAAACACUGCCACUUUAAGUUCCAGCUCCCUUUCUAGCCUCAGGCAUUUCAAGAAAAUCACUUGUCUUCUCAUUACAAGCAGUCAGAAAGAGCAGACAGUAAAAUACAGAUAAGACGGGCACAGAGGGAAGUGGGAGGAAAGUCUCUUGGGUAACUGCCAAACUUCACCCUCAUACAAUGGGCCCCAGUAAAACAGUGGGCCUUAAUAAGCACAUUCCUUUCCUUUCAGGUGCACUAAGAUAGGAAGGCUAAAGGCAGAUUGGGGGGAUAUGCCUGCAGCUACAGAAAGAUGUAUGGGAACAGACACACAACUCUCCCUCCCAAAUAAGCACAACAGAGAGACACAGAAGCAGUCCAAGCCUCUGAUAAACUCUCCCACCCUGAAUCUUUAAAAACUCUUAGUCUGCAAGAGAGUGUGGCUUCUGACCUAACUCGAUCAGAAGUCCCUCCCAGGUUUAAAAUAAACCUGUUAACUGUUGAGCCACCCUUCGUGUUUCUCUCCUCUUUCUUUAAUUCUUACAAUGCCUUCCUGAUGGCUGACUGCCAGGAAACCCCUUGGAUACAAUAGCCUGAAGCUGCUUACUCCCCUGGGUGUUGCCCUCCUGGCUACCCAUGGAAGAGCAAGCCCUGUUGACAAGAGCUUCCCCCAGCUCUAAUCCUACCUGGUUAUGGUUUAUUUUCUUUCCCCACCAUCUGGGCAGUUAUGUUGGCCCAAGGAAUUUGACUCAGUAUUAUCAUAGCAUAGAGCUAAUUUUAUAUGUAUUUAUUUCCAUGGUAAACAAGUUAUUCCCAUUGUCUGUCAUUCCCACUAAGCCUGCUAGGGACAGCCCAAAGGAGCAGCUCUAAGUGAGGAUACUUUGCCCUGUAUGACCCCGUCCCUAGAGCAGAUUGGUUCAUGGUUGACACCUAACAAAAAGACAGCCAAUCGAUAGGUUGGUCAGCAACUUUUCUCAUAACCUGACGCAUACAUAAAAGCUGGGUUAAACGCCAUUUCUACCUUGGAAAUUUAACCAAAGAAAGGUCAAGAAAAAGCGAAAAGACUUGGGAGGAUGCUUUGAAAUGAAAAGAUAAGAAUUGGAGCUACAGUAGGUUGUAAGAAGCCCCGGUUGCAAAAUAUUGAAACUAUGAGCAAGCUGUAGUGAUGGUGGAGAGAAGAGUUUCAGGCCAAGGGAAAGAAGCAGCUCAGAGGAGACUGAGCUAGGCCAGUGGACAUGGCCCCCUAACUCCUGCCACAGAGCCCUGGAGUCUCCUGGAGCCAGAGUGGCUCCUCAGUCCCAGGGCAGUGAGGCCUAUCCCUUCCAAUGCCUCUUCCUUCCUUCUGUGGAAGACCAACUCCAUUGAUGUUCCAUGUUUAUCUCCCUCCUGAGCUAACCUAGCUGAGUCUGCUCCUUACAAUCAAGAAAACCCACCCACUUUACUGGAUUCUCUCUGUGUGCAGCGAUGGUGGCAUAUAUCUUUGUAGCUUUUUGCCUCUAAUAUAAUGCAUUAUAAGGGUAAGUGAUGAGUUCUCAGUAAAUGAAUGUUGAAUAAACGAAUUUUUGAAAGCGCAAAGGAACAGACAAGUUCAUACACUUACUGUUAUGUUGUAAAGUCUUCAGUUUGGCUUUCUCAAAGUUGAACAAAAGAUGGCUACAUUCCUAGCGUCCCCCCAAGCCUUUUCCUAGUCCAUGAGUUUAGAGAUGGACUGCAAAUUUUAAACAAUACAAAUCUAGAAUCAGAUUCAAAAUCUCCUUCAAGAGGACAAACACUCUACUCCUAUUCUCAAUCCAGUUUUUUGAACUGAUCAGCCCACACACGCACGCACACACACACACACACUCAAAAUUAUUUUAAUAUAUGGACAGUCCUCAGUGUUUUUGUUUGUUUGUUUGUUUGUUUUUUGAGAUGGAGUCUCACUCUGUCGCCCAGGCUGGAGUGCAGUGGCGCAAUCUCGGCUCACUGCGAGCUCUCCCUCCCGGGUUCACGCCACUCUCCUGCCUCAGCUGGGACUACAGGUGCCCGCCACCACGCCCAGCUAAUUUUUUUGUAUUUUUAGUACAGACGGGGUUUCACCGUGUCAGCCUGGAUGGUUUGGGUCUCCUGACCUCGUGAUCCGCCCACCUCAGCCUCCCAAAGUGCUGGGAUUACAGGCGUGAGCCACCGCACCUGGCCAUCUUCAGUGUUUUUAAUACCUGAGUUUGUGGUUCUAAUUGUCUGAUUGAGCUAAAAAUUAACAAGAACUGGUUUGAGAACAUCUUCCUGCUUGGAAGUUAUUUCACCAAUUCAUUCUUUUAUAACACUGUAAAAAAGUAACUUAUUACAAGGUAGUAGUAACCUUUUCUUCCAAAGAAAUAUAAAAAAUCAAUUUGGUUAUGAAGAGAACUUUUGAACUUGGAGUUACUGAAAAUUAUUUACCAUCAGAGGAAUAUGUACUGGUCCUAAGAACAAUGAUAAAAGCCACAGUCCCUACUCUGGCAGCUGCUGGGCUGGUGGCAGAAGUUGUCUCAUCUGCUUUUCCCCACCAUUCUGGGAGCACUAGUAGCUUUGACUAUACACAGCUAUCAGAAGAGGGAGAGUUCAGCCUAGACCAGGGGUUGGUCCACAAACCUUUAUGGCAAAGGGCCGAACAGUAAAUAUUUUAGGUUUUGUGGGCCCCAUAGUCUCCACUGCAAGUACUCCACUGUGCUAUGGUCACACAAAAGCAGUCAUAGACAAUAUGUGAAGGAAUGAGUAUGACUAUGUUCCAAUAAAAGUUUACAGGUGCAGAAAUUUGAAUUUUAUAUAAUUUUCAUGUGUCCCAAACUAUUAUUCUUCUUUUCAGCCAUUUAAAAACAUAAAAACCAUCCUUGCAUUGUGAGCUGUAUCAAAUCAGAGGAUGAGAACAUGGACGCAGGUUUGGGGUCCCUGCUUCCUACCCUAGCUGAGUGCUGGGGGAACAGGCUGUAGAAUAGAUGCCUCAGGUCAACAUGGGGGGCUCCCAGGGUGGAAAGACUAGGGUCUCCCUUCCCAAGGUGAGUUCUGGAGUGACUGUGAGCCCUAGUGAAGCUUCAUGUCCCCCAUGGUACCAGAGCAGCAGAGCAACGGUGGCCAAGGGGCCUGGACAGAAUACCCUGGAGCCAGCUUUGUGACAGGCCCCUACAAAUGAUAAGGACAAAGAGUCAAAGUUCCUGAGCCUCCAUUUCAAAGGAGAGAAGAAGAUGAUGAUGGCUGGCCAGCAAAUUCAGAGAAGACUGGGUUGGAAGGCGAGAUCUGCCUGGACUCUACAACCAGAGGCCAUUACAAGAUGGUGUCCCCUUGGCCAAUACAGCAGGGGAAACAGCUGAUGCCCAAAGACCGCAUGGUUUGGAGGAGGCUCUCCUCAGAGAAGAAGUGGCCUGCCUCCACUCCUCUGGGUUCCCUAGAGCUGGUCCUCUUCUCCCUGAAGGCUGUCACAGUUCCUGUGCAGAGAGAGAGGGCACUGCAGCACCCAGGCGCUGACUGCCUUUUGUCAGUCUCAUUUGCAGGCCCCCAGCUGGAGAACCCAGGAGGAAGAGGAAAAAAGUUUUUUCCUCCUCUACACUCCCCAUGCAUGACUAAAGAGUAGGAGGAGUCAGCAAGGCAGACAUAUAUAGUACCCAGGAGGUGGACAAACAACUGCCUUGGUGGAAACUCUGUCCUUUCUGGACUUAUCCUGGUGCCACUGAGACUGUGCAGAUUUAGAUCUACAAUCCACCUGGAAUUGAUUUUUGUAUAUGGAGUGAGGUCCCACACUUACAGGGAAAGCAUCACCCGAAAGUGAGAAUGCCUAGAGGCAGGAAUCAUGGAGGCUUCCUUAACCGUCUGUCUGCAACAGCAGGUGCUAGAGAUGACACUGCAGAGUAGAGAACAAAGGAAUCUUAGUAAUUGUUCAAUCCAAUCUCCACACUUUAAAGAUGAAGAAACUGGUAUUGAGAAAAAUACACAGCUUAUCCAAGGUUGCACUGCUGGUUGGUAGCUGAGAUGAAUUUAGAACCCACAUCUGAUGACUACACCAUAUUGCUCCCAGUUUUCCUGUCUGUUCCACAUGUAAAAGUCUGACUCUUCACUUCUCCUUUGAGUAUAUAGACUUUUAACAUUUUUGUAUGUCAAGAUGGACUUUUCCUCAUACCCAGCCCCUGCCUUUUCUCCUCCCUUCAUACCUUGCAGGAUCUUUAACAGAAUUUAAAAGGAGUUUUUUGUUUUGUUUUGAUGUAUCUAAUAAAAGUCAAGGGAGGGAGAGGGCCAGUAUAAGCAAGAGUACAGUUUCCUAGUUUGUAGAUGCGGUAGUCUGAGGAAUCAGAAACACACAAAGGUUUGGAGAACUGGUACAUGCUCCCAGGUGGGAAGCCAGGACUCUUGGUAGGAUCUUGAGGACAAGGCAAAGGACAAUAAGAGAGCGAGGGGAUCCUAGAGGUGGAAUCAAGGAAGAGAAACUAGAGAGAGAAAAAGGAACUGGCUAUCCAUCCAUGAUGGAUCCUGUGUGGACUGAUGGGUGGCUUGGCAUCAUCCUUUAGUAGACUUCAUGUGGUUGAAUAAUUGGCCAAUGGAAGGAAUUUCUUUUUUGGUAACAGACUCUGUGUGUACAGUUAUGGGUCUUAAUUUAUAAUAAAAGGUUACAUUGAAAAUUG
rnacentral:lncRNA from 1 species